ensembl:lncRNA
AAAUAGAGAAGGCAGAUGCCUGUAGUGAUUUCACCGAAGUUACAACGUGAAGCAUGUGUGAUGUUAGGUACUUUACAGUACUUCUAAAGGGAGAAAGAAUGUGGCCGCAGAAAGGGAAUCCUGCCCGCAUGUUUGAUUCUUGAAAUGCACGUUAAAAGAUUUUUAUAUAUAAUAAAAGGCAAACAGUAAUAGAACCCCGCAGAUGGAGACAACUGUAGCACAGAGAGUGAAAAAUGUCUCACCGUCGGGCAGUGGCAGAACCAGCAAUGAAACACAAACCUCUUGCUCUGCUGGUUUACUCUCCAACUAAUUCACAUAAUAGGGGGUAGGGCUCUUUGCAGUGCUUCAGGCUGAUGGAGGUUACGCCUACAUAAAGUCCACACUUUUACCCUUGUACAAAGCCCCAAGCCCCUUUUACUUGCUUUUGGAGCCCUCCCAGAGACCCUGUAGCUCAGAGGGGAUCUGAGUGUGGGUCAAACAGCAGAUAACAGCUGAGAAGGGUUUUAAGAAAAGGUUUCUGGCUGCUUCUUGGCUGUUUGCUUCCCGGCUGAGGAGGGAGCCCAUCUGUGCAAGCCUUCCUCCUUCAUUUCAGUGCUGGCAGCGAGCUGCAGUCUCUGCUUAGGAGCAGUGCCACGAGCUGUGCCUUCCAGGAACAGGAGAGGAUGCAGCGUGGCCGUGUGGGUGUGUGGUGCACCCUUUGGGCCCCAGACGCAGGGACAAGACAAGCACAAAAGGGAGAGUAGGAAAAUGGAAUAUGCACAACUGGUUUAAUGCCAUGGGUUGUACACGUUUCUGAGACCAGCGUUUGCACUCAUUACGUGAUGUGCUUUCUCUUUAAUGGAAUUCUCUUAGACGUGCUGCUGAUAGGCUCUCUUCCCAUCUCUCCUUGAAUUCAAACAUUAUGGCUGAUUGAAAAAUAAGCAUGCAUUUUUCUGCUUUUUUCUUCUUUCGGUGUUUUUUUUUGGUCAGGUGGAAACAAUGAGGUGAACUCAUUUGUGACAGGCCCUUCUUCAGGCCUCUCCAACGUGGUCUGUAACGAGGGCACAGUGGAAAUUCCACAAAGAAGCCCAGAAGCUUUUCAGUUUGGGCAACCGUGUUGUUGUCUGCGUUUUAUUCGCAUCAAUCAGGUUUUUUUCACACCCAUCUUAGCUUCUUAUUGGUACCACAAGUCAACGCUUGCUGGAAAACGCCACCCUUGGAAAACAACCUGUAACGUACGACUGCUGUCUCUUCGUGUAUUUUCUGCUCAGAUCUUAACAUGCGCUUCCUCUGAAGGCCACCAGCGAUAAUAUUCACUCCCUCUCCAGAACCACAAGUCUGAUUGUGGUGCCAUCCAUGUAACAGAAUGCUGUUGGUGUGUGCUGGUGUUCUCUGUUCAUGCAUGUAAACCUGGGACUCCCAGGGAACUUAAGAAGCAUGAGCCUUGUUUGUGAAUCUCCAGAUGGGGGCAGACACUGAGAUGCACGGCUAGAAUAUUAGGCUGGGAUUGAUUACCCCAGUUCAGCUGUCAGGGAGCAGAAAGAAUUAAACCAAAGUCUCCUGGAUCCCAGGAAAAUGGCAUUACCGAUACCUCAACAUUUGGAGCAUCACUGUUAACUCUGCUGCAAUGGAGCCUGAGGAUGGAGCAUGGAGCAUAUAAACUACAGGAUUGCAAUCCAAGAUAACUCGCACAGUUUAAAAUCCCCUAAGUCAUCAGUAAUAGAAUUCUUGCCAAACUCAAUCACUCCCACCCAAAGCUGAAUUAACUUGCCUCCACUGCAGUAACAGGAAUAUUUUUGCUCUGUCUCAAUACAGACUGAGGGAAAAUGAUGUAAUUGAGUAAAACCUUUAUACUUAUCUGCCUCCAGAGUUUCACUUUGGGCAAUCUACCACUAGAUAUGUAAGUACACAUUUCAAAUCAGUAACCCAAAACUUUCAAACACCUCUGCUUUUGAUUUAGAUAUAUGUUGUCAUUGGCCAUCUAGGUAUUAAAAGACAUUGACUGCACCCAUUCUUAUUAAAAGUUUCAACACAAACUAAGAUAGUCAUGUGCUAUACAUGCAUUUUGGGUCUCAGUGUCCUGAUCUCCCCUCAAGUAGAAAACUGCCUCAGAGGUGUGAAUGGAUUUAUAUGAAGAACAUUCUGUAGAAGCUGAGGUCCAGGUUUAAACAUAGACUUUAAUCGGUGUAGCGGAGAUGGUGGGCAUCGAAGAAGUAGCAUCCUGUUAGCCAAGCCUCCAUGUUUGAACUAUGGCACAGGGCUAGAGCUUCAUGUGCUAUUCAGUUUGCCCAUGGAAAACUGCCCAGACUGCAGACUGUCAGUUUUACAUUCACUUGCAAACAAGUAAGUCAGUGUAUGUAGGAGAAUGGCACAAAGAAACAAUGCUACUCCCUGCCUCAUGCUUGUUGUCAAGUCCCAAAGUACACAACUACCCCACCUUCACAGGGAGAAGAAUAAAUGGAAGUGAUGUCUUACUGGAUCAAAUGUUAUCUUCUUUCUCCUUUAUGUCUUUGUUAUUAGUAAUAAACAAAAGCGAGUUUAGCUUGUUCUUAAAAACGACAAACUCUUCUGUUCUGCUCGUGUCAUCAGGACUCAUUGUUUGGGAUUGUUUACCCUUUGCUAGGAGCUAUGAUGACUUUGCAGGACUUGGAGAGCAUGAAGUGAACUGUCCUGGCUUACUCACUGAGGUGUGGCUGGCACUAAAUGUACAAGAAAACAUAUUUAAAGUAACAGUGCAUGUAAAUCUCGUAGCUCUACUUUUUCACUUUAUCAUCUGAAUACUUCAGUAUGAGAGGAAAAAUGAAGAAUGAUUCUCUUUUUGUAACAUCUGUCUCAGGAGGACACCUUCCCAGUGCACGUAGGACUCAACUUUGAGAUAUUUUCUUUUCAAGAGACAUGGGAGUUUUGAACCAGAGAAAAACAAUUUCUGCGUGAGGUUAACAAAAAUCUACAAUAAUUCUUAAGUCUUCCUGAAGUUCAUAUCCUCAUUUUGCCAUUCCAGAAUCAUAGAAUCACAGAACAGCCAAAGGACCAUCUAGCACCAUGUCCAAUCACAUCUUGAAAGCCUGCAGCAAUGGGGGAUUCCACCACAUCCUCGGGGAGGUUGUUCCAGUCAUUGACUGUUUUCACUCUGAAAAAUUUCAUUCUGAUAUCAAGGUGAAGCCUCUCCUGGUGCAUCUUGAAUCCAAUGCCCCUUGUCUUCUCUGUGUUGCUCACUGUGAAGAGACAGCCUCUGUCCUCUUUGUAGCAACCCUUCCAGCGCUGAAUACAGUACUGAGGCCCCUGAGUCAUCUUUUGUCAUGGAAGAGAAGAUCCAUGCAGCCUAAGAGCUGAACAGAAUUUAAUCUUGAUUCUUGUGACCACAUCAUCUUCAGGCUCCUAGCAGUACCCCAAGGUGUUAUUUUUAUCAUCUAUAAUCUUUUGGCUGAAAAGAACAGGCAAGAACAAACAAACAAACAAAAAA